rnacentral:rRNA from 1 species
CGGGUGAGUAAUGCUUGGGAAUCUAGCUUAUGGAGGGGGAUAGCUACGGGAAACUGUAGCUAAUACCGCGUAGUAUCGGAAGAUGAAAGUGUGGGACCUUCGGGCCACACGCCAUAGGAUGAGCCCAAGUGGGAUUAGGUAGUUGGUGAGGUAAAGGCUCACCAAGCCGACGAUCUCUAGCUGGUCUGAGAGGAUGACCAGCCACACUGGGACUGAGACACGGCCCAG